GCGGGCUUCCCAGUCACUGCUGAGACUUCCUACGGCUGAAUUCACCAGGGCACACCUCUUUCUCUCAAAACGGACUUCCCAGUCACUGCUGAGACUUCCCAUGGCUGAAUUCACCAGGGCACACCUCUUUCUCUCAAAACGAAGCGUAUUCUUUAAAAAGACAGAGAAAUCCCCGUGUCUGAAGGCCAAGCGCUGUCCUCACGCGAAAGGCUUGAAGAGGCAGGUUCUGUCAGAAUCAGCGGGAGAGACAGAACCACCAGGCCUGCCCCGGGAAGGUGGUGACCCUCAGCCUGCGGCAGCCGGUGGGGCCGUCGAGGAAAGCCAGCUCAUUUGGCUGUGAAGCGAACCAGUAGCCUGAAGGACAUCUCCAAAGAAGAGUUUGAGUGCAGGCGAUGGAGGUGCACAGAGCCGGUAAGGGGACCGCGGGCGUCUGGCAGAACAUCAGCAGCAUCCCCCUCAUGGUGUCUUCCGGUUUCCGUGGAACAGUCCUUUGUCUGCAUGGCUGCAUCCUACCACACAGGCCAAGGGAACAGGCUGCAUUCGAAAGGACUCCAGGUCACACAUCAGUCUUACGAAUGAAGAUGGAGGCGCACAGGUUGAAAUACCCCGUCUUCCGCGGCAGUGAUUGAAUACACGAAGCAUUGAGGUUCGAGAGCGCUGUGAACGAAUUGUGCCCUUUUGGAUACGUCACUUCCGCUAUAAAAUCAAGUCCUCAGCUGCAUUUCCCCACAUGCAUCAAUGAGCUAUUUUAAAAAUAUUUGUUUAUUACAUUUUUUAUUUGGC